UACGUAGGGCGCAAGCGUUGUUCGGAAUUACUGGGCGUAAAGGGCGCGUAGGCGGUGCGGUAAGUCACCUGUGAAACCUCUAGGCUUAACCUAGAGCCUGCAGGCGAAACUGCCGUGCUUGAGGGUGGGAGAGGUGCGUGGAAUUCCCGGUGUAGCGGUGAAAUGCGUAGAGAUGUGGAGGAACACCAGUGGCGAAGGCGACUCUUUGGCCUGUAACUGACGCUGAGGCGCGAAAGCGUGGGGAGCAAACAGG
rnacentral:rRNA from 1 species